CCCGUAUUUGGUAAAGAUGUAUGUCUCGAUAGAAAACUGGUCUUUAAAUCCAUACCACAAAUACCCAAGGUAGAGAGAGUUACCUAAUGUUUCAACAAAACUUUAACACCAUGAUCAUGUUCAUCUUUAUCCUGUGUUCCUUGUCAAAAGAGACCAUAGCCCAAACAAAAGGUAUGUCAACAUUCUUUCAUUAACGUAGUUAUCGUUAACAAAAAAAGUUCUAGUAUGUUUUUGAAUUUUUUAAAGAUUGAAUUUUAAUUGAAAGGUGCUACACAUAGGAUUUUUUGUUGUUGAAUUUUUGUAUUUUAAUUUUCGAAAAUGUUCAUAAUAUAUCUAGCGCUAAUAGUGUAAUGAUAGUGUUUCACAGUAUUACUUACCCGCCAGUGUUGUGAUUGGCUGUGAUAUUCGCCUAUUGAUUUUGUUCUGCCGUCUGUUGUCAAACUGGGAAAGCUGUUCUGACUUUGUGGCUGUGUUAUCUAGCGGCAAUUGCGCAUUUUCUGGUUGCAGAAAUUCUACACUGUUCGCUCAAUUUCAGUUUGUUACAAAACCAGCACUGAAUAGUGUACGUAAUCAUUGUACCAUCUAAAUCGCUGUGAAAUAUACUUUUAAUAAGCAAAAAUAUCAUUUUUACAGCUGUUUGAAGCUUGUGGAACAAAACAAAAGUUUGUUUCGGUCUUGGUCCACCAGCGUCAAACAGCAGUUUUGGUCGACACAGCCACAAAAUCAGAACAACUUUCCCAGUUUGACAACACAUGCCGCUCUGGCGUGAGAAAUCAAUCGGCAAAUAUCCCAGCCAAUCACAACACUGACGUGUAAUUAAUACUGUGAAACAGUAUCAUUCCACUAUUGGCUGCAGAUAUAUUAUGAAAUUACAAUGUCAAUAUUUUUCUUUAUAACCUAUGUGUAGCAACAUUAAAUAACCAAUAGGAAUGAUGUUUUCAAUAUAAUAUGGUACACAAAAAUACUGUACAUGCAUGUUUCACUACUUUUCCUUUUUUCAAAUAUUAGUAAAGGACAUUUUUCCAGCAAAGAUCUAUGGGACAGAAACAAGAAUAAUGGAGGACAGUGACCUAGUAGUAAAAUGUAGUACAUUUGGGCGCAAGGAUGAAUCAGAAGUGGUACAUGUGUACUUGUGUUUGGAUGGGGUUGCAGUGUAUGUGGACAAAUGUGAAACAUAUGAUACCCUUUUCACCAUGAAAAGUGUAACUAGCCAACAGAGUGGCAAUUACAGCUGUGUGUUCUCUAAAACCCAAUAUCCACUCUCUGAAGCGCAAGGAACUGGAGAUAAUUCACUUUCCAUCCAGGUGAUGGGUAAGGAUUAUUUACUCUCUGGAUAUGUUAUUGUUGUUAGAAAUAUUGAACAUAUGGAUACAAUACAUGUAGUGGCGAAUUCCUAUGACAUGCCACUAGCACAGGAGAGAGCUGUCCAUAACACGUCCACCAAAAAAAUCUGCUUUCCAAACGUUACUCUUUUUGGGUGAAGUUCCCAUUUAUUGCACAUAUAAAAUAUAAAUAGAUCCAAAACUCAUAUUCCUAUAGAAAAGUUGCAGAGGCAUGCAUUCUUUAAGCUAUAUCUGUGAUAUGGUAACAACUGUAUGUUCUCUCCUCUCACCUGUGUUAACCCUUCCUGGUCACCUAUAUGCACAUGUGACCUGUGACCCAUGGCCCCAACAUAUAGUGCCCUCUAGUGUACAAAACAAGUAGAAAUAUUCCUUGACAGAACAUUUUAGUCAUUUAGCAGACGCUCUUAUCCAGAGCGACUUACAGUAGUGAAUGCAUACAUUUCAUACAUUUUUUUUUUUUUUGUACUGGCCCCCUUGGGAAUCGAACCCACAACCCUGGCGUUGCACACACCAUGCUGGCAUUGCAAACACCAUGCUCUACCAACUGAGCCACAGGGAAGACCUGAACAUACACACAACACAUAAACAGGCCAAAACGGCUGCUACAAAAUACUUGCAAAUAUUUUUGAUACACAUAUUUCAAUGUGACUACAAACACACCUUUCCUAUUCCUCUCUUUUUUCACCUCAUGCAGACCGGAUUCUCCCUGCAGACAUAUCACUUUCAGGCUCAAGCACUGUAAGAGAGGGAGAGGAUGUGGAUUUCCAAUGUACUAUUAUUAGAACCCCCCAGAGAAUAGAAAUGACCAGUCACUUUUACCUCUGCAAGAACGGCACUGCUGUUCAGAUGAAGGAGUUUGAUGUGAAUCUGAUGGAGGCAACUUUUACAAUUAAAAGUGUUAUUAACAAUGACACAGGCAACUACAGUUGUGUGCUUGAUCUGCAAUCAAAACCCCUGGAUAAUACAGACAGGAAAUUAUAUGGAAAUAAUUCAGCCUUUCUUCAGGUUAAUGGUGAGAAUGUAUAGCAUAAAACUUUUGUAAACACUUUUCUUUUAUUUAUAAUCACUAUAUGAAAGGAAGAGGUUAAGAGACCAAAUAAAUUGACAAAAAAUGUGAAUUCAUCCAUCCACUCUGUAUUUCAGAGGCUGCACAUGAUGUGAGACUUGUCAAUGUUAUCCGAUUGAUAAAUUCAGCUGUUGUGGUCAUACUUCUACUGACUGUAGUGGCUGUUAGUUACUUCUGUCCAAACAUGACGCAGCAACUGAAGGGCCUAAAGCAGAAGCCGUGUACCAGACCACACACGUAGACAGGAUGUUGUCAGUACAUUUAAUAACGGCAAGCUGCAAUCUAUUUUCAAGCCAUACAUUACAUGUGGACUGUUGAUCUUGCAUUGUGCAAACAUACAAUAUCUGUCUUGUCUACUCACUCCUUGCAUGCUGUAGUUUAAUGUAGUGGACAUUACUGUUUUUCAACUCCACAUUUUCAUUAUGUUGAUGACUGACACACUCAGUAUUCCAUUUCAUGUUUUACUCAUGCACUAGUUGAGCUACUGAGCUAGUGAACAACAAUGUAUGGAUCCCUGCAAUGGUUUCAGUAA